GCUCGCUCUAGAUCUCUCCCCGGUCUCUAUAAAUAAGCAAAACUUAUCGUUGCAUUAUUCAUCCAAGCUCGCAGAUCUACUGUUGUUGUGUUGUUUUUGUUCCUGUAACUCACUUUGUAGUAGCAAGUUAGGGCCAUGGCAAUGAAGCAAACCCAUUUGUUCCUCUUCCUCGUCGCCCUUUUCUUAGUUUUUGCCCUGGUGUUGGCCGGAGAGCAACAACAUGAAGAGAACGAGAACCGCAUCAAUGGUGCAGCUGGUAAGCUCGACGGACUGUUGGGAGGUGGUGGUGGGCUUGGGGGAGGGCGAAGGCCUUGCUUCCGCUGUAGAAUUAGAGGUAAAUUCUGCUGUGGCUUUAUAUGCUGCUCUGCUGAAGAAUAUGAACAGUACAUCAAGGCCCAAGGUGUCCCUCACAACUGAAACUGAUGGGUGCUGCGCAUCAUUAAUGUUAUUAGUAUGUAAUUUCACAUCAAGCAUAUGGUUGAUGUCUAAAUAAGAGCAUGUUGGUAGAAAGCAUGCAGUUUGUCGAGUGCAAGCAUAAGUCCUUUGUGGCAUGUGUUUUCCUUGUUUAAUGAAAACUGAAUGAGCUGUUUGCCUUCAAA